rnacentral:rRNA from 1 species
GACGAACGCUGGCGGCGUGCUUAACACAUGCAAGUCGAACGGAAAGGCCCUGCUUUUGUGGGGUGCUCGAGUGGCGAACGGGUGAGUAACACGUGAGUAACCUGCCCUUGACUUUGGGAUAACUUCAGGAAACUGGGGCUAAUACCGGAUAGGAGCUCCUGCUGCAUGGUGGGGGUUGGAAAGUUUCGGCGGUUGGGGAUGGACUCGCGGCUUAUCAGCUUGGUGGUGGGGUAGUGGCUUACCAAGGCUUUGACGGGUAGCCGGCCUGAGAGGGUGACCGGCCACAUUGGGACGGAGAUGCGGCACAGACUCCUACGGGAGGCAGCAGUGGGGAAUAGUGCACAAUGGGCGGAAGCCUGAUGCAGCAACGCCGCGUGCGGGAUGACGGCCUUCGGGUUGUAAACCGCUUUCGCCUGUGACGAAGCGUGAGUGACGGUAAUGGGUAAAGAAGCACCGGCUAACUACGUG